AAACGACUCUCGGCAACGGAUAUCUAGGCUCUCGCAUCGAUGAAGAACGUAGCAAACUGCGAUACUUGGUGUGAAUUGCAGAAUCCCGUGAACCAUCGAGUUUUUGAACGCAAGUUGCGCCCGAGGCCAUCAGGCCAAGGGCACGCCUGCCUGGGCGUCACGCAUCGCGUCGCCCUCCCCACUCCUCGCCCCGGACGGGACGAGGACCGCGGGUGAGGGCGGAGACUGGCCUCCCGUGCCUUCGCGCGGCCGGCCUAAACCCGGGUCCCUCGCUGCGGGCGUCACGACGAGUGGUGGUUGAAACCCUCAACUCGAAAGCGAGUCGUGCGCGCGCCCCGCGAGCCAGGAGACCGCCAGACCCUGAGGCGAGCGAGCCCCUUGCGAGGAGCGCUCUCCACGACCGCGACCCCAGGUCAGGCGGGGCUACCCGCUGAGUUUAAGCAUAUCAAUAAGCGGAGGAAAAGAAACUAACAAGGAUUCCCCUAGUAACGGCGAGCGAACCGGGAAGAGCCCA
rnacentral:rRNA from 2 species